UACAUAGGGUGCGAGCGUUAAUCGGAAUUACUGGGCGUAAAGCGCGCGUAGACGGUUAUUUAAGUCGGGCGUGAAAGCCCCGGGCUCAACCUGGGAAUUGCAUUCGAGACUGAAUAGCUAGGGUACGGUAGAGGGAAGCGGAAUUUCCGGUGUAGCGGUGAAAUGCGUAGAUAUCGGAAGGAACAUCAGUGGCGAAAGCGGCUUCCUGGACCAGUACCGACGUUCAGGCACGAAAGCGUGGGGAGCAAACAGG
rnacentral:rRNA from 1 species